rnacentral:misc_RNA from 1 species
UUUCUUGGAUCUCGGUUUCCUCUUCCUGGAUUUGACUGCUGUAUUAAUUUCUGCAGCUGCACCCACACCAACAUGGUCACUAGAACCACCUCCUGGUUCCUCUAAAACACCAACAUCCACUUUGUCAAGACUGUUAUUUGGGCUGCCAUCAAUCUGUUUCUUUUCCUUUCCAUUGGAGAGGGCCACCAGUCCACUUGCACCUACAACAUUACCAUCACAGCCAACUUGCUUGCUCAGAACACAAGACUCCAAUUGCUCCAGACUGUUGUUUAGGAUGUUUCUUGCUUUUGAUCUCCGUUUCUUCUUCUUGGAUUUGAUUUGUGCUUGUGCUUCCAGUUCAAUUGAAGGCUGUAUUUCUAGUCCAUUAGCUCCUACCUUAUGAGCAUUGCCAUCUAUCUGCUUUCCAAGCUGGUCACUUGCAUGGCUUCUUUGUUCCCUAAAAGCAUAGAUAUCAUCAGCUUCAAUCUGUCUCCUUCUACUAGACCUUCGUUUUCUUUUCUUGGAUUUCACCUGUUUCUUUAUUUCCACUUCCCCUUCUGUGCCUACAUGAACAUCAUAACCUUGCCUCUUCUCCCCGACAAUGCAACUCCCUAGCUUCUCAACAUUGGUGCAUUUAUCCAUUUUCUGAGUCUCACAUUUUGAGUGAUUCCUAUGAAUGGAAUGCUCCAACUCCACAACAUUGUUAUCUGGGACACCAAAACCUUCACUCCGUUUUCUUUUCCUUAAUCUCCUUUUCGCUUUUUUAGAUUGAAUUUCUAUUCUUAUUUCCUUAACUCCAUCAUCACCUGCAUGGUUACCAUCUCUCCGUUCACUAAGAAUGCUCUGCUUCAAUUUCUCUGUGUUGUGUGGAACACCUUCACCUUCACUUCUUCUUUCUUUAAAUCUGUCAUCAAUGAAGUUCUUAUUAUCUUUGCUCCAUUUCUUUUUCCAGGCAUUAACUUUUGUUCGGAUUCCCCCCAAUCUAUAUGCAUCUACACGGAAACCAGGUCCCUUGUAUCCACAGAUAUCUUCUUGUUUGGCGGGAUAACACGAAGACACAAGUCGAUGAGCCAAAUUUGCCAGAUGGGGACCUGAAAUGGACUUUGGGAUUGGCCUUCUAGAAGAUACCCCUUUGGAAACAACUGUCUCAUGCCAAAUAUGUGGUGGUGAAAUUUCCUGUUCGCCCACAGACUUGCCAGGCAAGAUCACUUCCUCUGGUAGUUUUGAGAUAUGACAAUGAAACACUGGGUACUUGUAUGAGAUAGAUAUGACUUCAUUAUUUGCAAUCAUCUGCAUGCUUUCAAUUGGUGAAUAUACUUCCGCAGGCCACACAGAUUUAUCAGAAUUACAAAUAAAUCCAUUCAUUCCACCGCUGAUUUUUGGGUCAAUUUUCUGUAACACAUUAGGAUGACAAUUCUGCUUAGAAAAUUGAAUUAUAAUAUCGGCCAGAGGAUGUGAAAUAUGAACAAAUAGGAUAUCCAAAUCCAAACUGUUUCUCUGUCUUUCAUCAUCCGUCAAUUCGUGCUCCACUUGAGCAACUGCUGAAAGAAGACGGGACUCUUCAAUGAAUGGCAAUAUGCAAACUGCCUGCCAUUUACGACGUUUUCCAUUCAAAUCAAGCCUAAAAUCAGAAGGAUAAAAGUCCAGUAUAGGAGACGAUGCAUCUG